GUCUCCCACGACCUCCCCGCAAACCUCAAAAAAAGAAAAGAAAAGAAAAAAGAAAGCCCCUUUGAUUCUUAGUUGGUUUGUCUUAGAUUCUUUUUGGUUUUCUUAAAAAUUUCCCAUAGUUUUUGAAUUGGUUUCGAUCGAAAGGUUCAGACAAAAGGGUUUUUUCUUGGAGAGUCAAUCGUUUCAAGAUUUUUUUUUUUCAUCGAAAGACUGAAUGAUCUAAUGGAGUCCAAGGGUGGGAAA